CGCGCUAUCUGCAGUCGAGCGGAUCGAUGGGAGCUUGCUCCCUGAGAUCAGCGGCGGACGGGUGAGUAACACGUGGGUAACCUGCCUGUAAGACUGGGAUAACUCCGGGAAACCGGGGCUAAUACCGGAUAAUUUAGUUCCUCGCAUGAGGAACUGUUGAAAGGUGGCUUUUCGCUACCACUUACAGAUGGACCCGCGGCGCAUUAGCUAGUUGGUGAGGUAACGGCUCACCAAGGCAACGAUGCGUAGCCGACCUGAGAGGGUGAUCGGCCACACUGGGACUGAGACACGGCCCAGACUCCUACGGGAGGCAGCAGUAGGGAAUCUUCCGCAAUGGACGAAAGUCUGACGGAGCAACGCCGCGUGAGUGAAGAAGGUUUUCGGAUCGUAAAACUCUGUUGUUAGGGAAGAACAAGUGCCGUUCGAAUAGGGCGGCACCUUGACGGUACCUAACCAGAAAGCCACGGCUAACUACGUGCCAGCAGCCGCGGUAAUACGUAGGUGGCAAGCGUUGUCCGGAAUUAUUGGGCGUAAAGCGCGCGCAGGUGGUUUCUUAAGUCUGAUGUGAAAGCCCACGGCUCAACCGUGGAGGGUCAUUGGAAACUGGGGAACUUGAGUGCAGAAGAGGAAAGUGGAAUUCCAAGUGUAGCGGUGAAAUGCGUAGAUAUUUGGAGGAACACCAGUGGCGAAGGCGACUUUCUGUUCUGUAACUGACACUGAGGCGCGAAAAGCGUGGGGAGCAAACAGGAUUAGAUACCCUGUCAGUCCACGCCGUAAACGAUGAGUGCUAAGUGUUAGAGGGCUUCCGCCUUUUUAGUGCUGCAGCUAACGCUUAGGCAUUCCGCCUGGGGAAGUACGGUCGCAGACUGAAAUCUCAAUGAAUUGACUGCGGCCCGCACAUGCGGUGGAGCAUGUGCGUUAAUCGUGCACGCGUAGACCUUACCAGGUCCUGAC
rnacentral:rRNA from 1 species